rnacentral:rRNA from 1 species
GAGCGACUGAUUAGAAGCUUGCUUCUAUGACGUUAGCGGCGGACGGGUGAGUAACACGUGGGCAACCUGCCUGUAAGACUGGGAUAACUUCGGGAAACCGAAGCUAAUACCGGAUAGGAUCUUCUCCUUCAUGGGAGAUGAUUGAAAGAUGGUUUCGGCUAUCACUUACAGAUGGGCCCGCGGUGCAUUAGCUAGUUGGUGAGGUAACGGCUCACCAAGGCAACGAUGCAUAGCCGACCUGAGAGGGUGAUCGGCCACACUGGGACUGAGACACGGCCCAGACUCCUACGGGAGGCAGCAGUAGGGAAUCUUCCGCAAUGGACGAAAGUCUGACGGAGCAACGCCGCGUGAGUGAUGAAGGCUUUCGGGUCGUAAAACUCUGUUGUUAGGGAAGAACAAGUACGAGAGUAACUGCUCGUACCUUGACGGUACCUAACCAGAAAGCCACGGCUAACUACGUGCCAGCAGCCGCGGUAAUACGUAGGUGGCAAGCGUUAUCCGGAAUUAUUGGGCGUAAAGCGCGCGCAGGCGGUUUCUUAAGUCUGAUGUGAAAGCCCACGGCUCAACCGUGGAGGGUCAUUGGAAACUGGGGAACUUGAGUGCAGAAGAGAAAAGCGGAAUUCCACGUG